rnacentral:snRNA from 1 species
AUGCUCACUUCGGCAGCACAUAUACUACAAAAUUGAAAUGAUACAGAGAAGAUUAGCAUGGCCCCUGUGCAAGGAUGACAUGCAAACUUGUGAAGUGUUCCAUAUUUUG